AUUGAACGCUGGCGGCAGGCCUAACACAUGCAAGUCGAGCGGAUGAAGGGAGCUUGCUCCUGGAUUCAGCGGCGGACGGGUGAGUAAUGCCUAGGAAUCUGCCUGGUAGUGGGGGAUAACGUCCGGAAACGGGCGCUAAUACCGCAUACGUCCUGAGGGAGAAAGUGGGGGAUCUUCGGACCUCACGCUCUCAGAUGAGCCUAGGUCGGAUUAGCUAGUUGGCGGGGUAAAGGCCUACCAAGGCGACGAUCCGUAACUGGUCUGAGAGGAUGAUCAGUCACACUGGAACUGAGACACGGUCCAGACUCCUACGGGAGGCAGCAGUGGGGAAUAUUGGACAAUGGGCGAAAGCCUGAUCCAGCCAUGCCGCGUGUGUGAAGAAGGUCUUCGGAUUGUAAAGCACUUUAAGUUGGGAGGAAGGGCAGUAAGUUAAUACCUUGCUGUUUUGACGUUACCAACAGAAUAAGCACCGGCUAACUUCGUG
rnacentral:rRNA from 1 species